ACAUCAUUAACACCUAACAUUGCUGUACCCAUACAUGGAACAAUAAAUCACCACGCCAGUGAUCGCCGGCACCGCCUCGGAGGGCGUGCUUCGAGUGGGUGACGUCAUCACCGCCAUUAAAGGUCAGGACGCUACCUGUCUCAGCCACCAGGAGGCCACUGAGCUCUUCAAGAGCGCCGGCAAUCAGCUGAACUUGGUUCUUGCCAGAGGAGUGUCUAAUGGCACUCCGGGCACCCCGGGAACUCCUGGCACUCCCCGAACUACGAUGGUAGACGGUCCUUUCGGAAAAGGUCACUCCGCUCAGCCGAAACCUAACCAAGUCGGGAAACCACCUGCCCGAAAAUUUUCCGACGCCGAUCAGAAGCCACCUCUCUCGCUGGGGGCUCUGAUCCACCAAAGCGCCGAUCAGAGACAUCAUGCGGCCGCUGAGGCUGCCGCAGAGGCUAGGGCGGCCCUGGCAGAGGCUAGGGCGAGCUCUGCGCCGCCCGAGACGCAGCAGAAUCAGACGGUGCAGUCUCCGACCAGCUACCUACCGGCCACCACGUUUGUCAAGCCGAAGUCCAAGAUGGAGCUGCAGGUGGAAGAGGCCAUUCUGCAGGAGCACCAUGAGAAGGACAUGAUUGUCGACCAGCCGUACCGGACAACCCCCCUGAUCACCCCUGGAGCGAAGGUCAAGCGUGACACCCCGAUUGUGGCCUCCUAUCUCAACAUGCACCCAGACCCCCAGGUGCGGGGAGCGGCUCCUCACGUGUCCCAGGUCAGCAGCGGUCUGAACAGCAUGCUCGGAUCGGCUAACGAACAGCUCGCUAGAAAGGUUGCUACGAACGUCCGAACCGCCGCACAGGAUCGUCCCGAUUCUGGACGUGUUCACACCCCGAAGAUUAUUCAUCACCAGUUCAACACGCCGGCUAAUCUCUACAGUCAGGAUAACAUGGCCAGCAGUAUCCAGCAGCAGACUGGAAUUGCCCCUCAGGUGAGCGGGGCUCCCCGAAAGGAGUUCAGCAUCCAGAACUCGGAGACUCUCAAGAUGAUCCUGGAGGAGGACCAGCAGAAACCUGCUACGCAGCACAAGCCCAAGUCGCACGUCGUCUAUGAUGUUCACGAGGCCAAGGUACUGCGUCCCUAUCGUUACUAAGAGCCAAGAGGCACAACCGCCCACCGCCGCCGCCCGCCGCCCAACCGCCGCCGCCGAAGUCAAAACCUACCGCCCGCUGCCAACCGCCCGCCCGCCGCCUCGACUGUUCCCGCCGCCUGCCGCCAGCUAGAACCCUAUCAAGCCGUCAACCAGCCGCCCUCAAUGUUCACCAACUCGGACAAGAUUGCCCAGAGCUACUCCUUCAACAAGCUCAUGUGGUCUGUCGAUCCCGUAGAGAGGUUGUAAGUCUCUCCCCGUCUUUUCCCAACACCUGGAAGUCAGUUCGUCUGUUCAGCCCUCGGCUAGUCUACCUACCCCCGGUCGCCCGAAAUCUUCACUUCGAUCGAACGAUAUUGCUUUGACGGGAUAAAGCAGGCCUCCAAACGCGGGCGACGCUGAGCGCAGUGCACCAGGCCUCUCUCUCCCUGCUUAGCCGCCGUGGUCGCGCAGCUCUAGACGUUUUCUUGCCAGAAGCUGCAGGAAGCGUUUCGCGUGUGUCUUUGGUUACGUUUCGGUGAAGCUUAUGCGUGGCGAAGUAUCAGCGCUUCACCGAACUUGGCGCGUCUCAGUUUUGUUGUAGGUGGCGGUUCAUUCGCGGUGUGUUUGUUAUAGGUGGCGCUUCAGUCGCUCCCAGGAUGGUCGGGCGGGUAUGCGCAUGCGCGCUGUACUGUAACCCUCAGGCGGUAGUGGCGUGGUUUCCGGUUAGCCUCUGUAUAACAUGUGGCCAUGCUAAAGCUGACGUUAGCCUCGCGGGCCCGGUUGUCAUGGUAACAACUGACGCAGUGACGUUCUACUGACGUGACGUCAGUGACGGCUACGGUUUGUCGUUAAUUGUGCCGUCGACGGUCGGAUUUUGCGGUUAAUAAACGCUUCGGGACA
rnacentral:misc_RNA from 1 species